CCCUUAGAUGUCCUGGGCCGCACGCGUGCUACACUGAUGCAUACAGCGAGUACUCCCAGCUCCGAGAGGCUGCUGGUAAUCAGCAAUAUGCAUCGUGAUGGGGAUAGAUCUUUGGAAUUAUAGAUCUUGAACGAGGAAUUCCUAGUAAUCGCAGGUCAUCACCCUGCGUUGACUAAGUCCCUGCCCUUUGUACACACCGCCCGUCGCUCCUACCGAUUUCUAGUGAUCCGGUGAAUCAUUCGGACCGCGGCCCCUAGGCAUGCGGAAAGUCUAGUAAACCAUAUCACUUAGAGGAAGGAGAAGUCGUAACA
rnacentral:rRNA from 1 species